UCCGUAGGGUGCAAGCGUUAAUCGGGAUUACUGGGCGUAAAGCGUGCGCAGGCGGUUUUGUAAGUCAGAUGUGAAAUCCCCGGGCUUAACCUGGGAACUGCGUUUGAAACUACAAGGCUAGAGUGUGGCAGAGGGGGGUGGAAUUCCACGUGUAGCAGUGAAAUGCGUAGAGAUGUGGAGGAACACCGAUGGCGAAGGCAGCCCCCUGGGUUAACACUGACGCUCAGGCACGAAAGCGUGGGGAGCAAACAGG
rnacentral:rRNA from 1 species